CCCUUAGAUGUUCUGGGCCGCACGCGUGCUACACUGAUGCAUUCAACGAGUCUAAAACCUGGUCUGAUAGGGCUGGGUAAUCUUUUGAAAGUGCAUCGUGAUUGGGAUAGAUGAUUGCAAUUCUUCAUCUUCAACGAGGAAUGCCUAGUAAACGCAAGUCAUCAGCUUGCAUUGAUUACGUCCCUGCCCUUUGUACACACCGCCCGUCGCUCCUACCGAUUGAAUGAUCCGAUGAAUAUCAUAGACUGAGAGUAUAAGCAGGUUCGCCUGUCUUUGCUUCUCGGGAAGUGAAGUAAAUCUUAUCAUUUAGAGGAAGGAGAAGUCGUAACA
rnacentral:rRNA from 1 species